rnacentral:rRNA from 1 species
UCCUACGGGAGGCAGCAGUGGGGAAUUUUCCGCAAUGGGCGAAAGCCUGACGGAGCGACGCCGCGUGGAGGAUGAAGGAUUUCGGUCUGUAAACUCCUGUCAGGGGGGACGAUGAUGACGGUACCCCCAAAGGAAGCAUCGGCUAACUACGUGC